rnacentral:hammerhead_ribozyme from 1 species
AUCCAGUUGACGAGUCCCAAAUAGGAUGAAACACGAGUCCUGAAU